CCGGACAGAGGUGGCGCUCUCUCCCGAGAGGCGGCCGUGGUGACGACCGCUUGAGGUCGACCGAGUGAGCCAGCCGCCGGCUGUAUUAGGACCGCUCUCGCAUAUGUGGCCGCUGCUGGGUGUUCAUGCGGCGGUUUUGGUUGCCGUUUUGUUUCGCUUUAUUGAUUUGCUCUUUUGUGUUUCGCCGUUUAGGUGGGCCAAACCACCCCCAUAGCAAACCGGAAGAGAAUCAGCGUCCGCCCAGCAAGCGGCGAAAACGGAAGGGCGCGGCGGGCGCGGCAGGCGCAGCCGCCGCCACCAAGAAGGGCCGACCGCCCUUCAACCUAGCCGGACAAGUCAGUGAUGUGAUGG